rnacentral:rRNA from 1 species
ACGGGAGGCAGCAGUGGGGAAUAUUGCACAAUGGGGGAAACCCUGAUGCAGCGACGCCGCGUGAAGGACGACGUAUUUCGGUAUGUAAACUUCUAUCAGCAGGGAAGAUGAUGACGGUACCUGACUAAGAAGCCCCGGCUAACUACGUGCCAGCAGCCGCGGUAAUACGUAGGGGGCAAGCGUUAUCCGGAUUUACUGGGUGUAAAGGGAGCGUAGGCGGCCAUGCAAGUCAGAAGUGAAAGCCCGGGGCCCAACCGCGGGACUGCUUUUGAAACUGUAAGGCUUGAUUGCCGGAGAGGUAAGCGGAAUUCCUAGUGUAGCGGUGAAAUGCGUAGAUAUUAGGAGGAACACCAGUGGCGAAGGCGGCUUACUGGACGGCGAAUGACGCUGAGGCUCGAAAGCGUGGGGAGCAAACAGGAUUAGAUACCCUGGUA